AAAAGUGCAUUGCCCUUAGUAGCGGCGAGUGAGCGGCAAAAGCUCAAAUUUGAAAUCUGGCACUUUCAGUGUCCGAGUUGUAAUUUGAAGAAGGUAUCUUUGGGUCUGGCUCUUGUCUAUGUUUCUUGGAACAGAACGUCACAGAGGGUGAGAAUCCCGUGCGAUGAGAUGUCCCAGACCUAUGUAAAGUUCCUUCGAAGAGUCGAGUUGUUUGGGAAUGCAGCUCUAAGUGGGUGGUAAAUUCCAUCUAAAGCUAAAUAUUGGCGAGAGACCGAUAGCGAACAAGUACAGUGAUGGAAAGAUGAAAAGAACUUUGAAAAGAGAGUGAAAAAGUACGUGAAAUUGUUGAAAGGGAAGGGCUUGAGAUCAGACUUGGUAUUUUGUAUGUUACUCUCUCGGGGGUGGCCUCUACAGUUUACCGGGCCAGCAUCAGUUUGAGCGGUAGGAUAAGUGCAAAGAAAUGUGGCACUGCUUCGGUAGUGUGUUAUAGUCUUUGUCGAUACUGCCAGCUUAGACUGAGGACUGCGGCUUCGGCCUAGGAUGUUGGCAUAAUGAUCUUAAGUCGCCCGUCUUAA
rnacentral:rRNA from 1 species